ACGAACGCUGGCGGCGUGCUUAACACAUGCAAGUCGAACGGAAAGGCCCUGCUUGCAGGGUCCUCGAGUGGCGAACGGGUGAGUAACACGUGGGUGAUCUGCCCUGCACUUCGGGAUAAGCCUGGGAAACUGGGUCUAAUACCGGAUAUGACCUUCCAUGUAGUGUGGGGGGUGGAAAGAUUUAUCGGUGUGGGAUGAGCCCGCGGCCUAUCAGCUUGUUGGUGGGGUAAUGGCCUACCAAGGCGUCGACGGGUAGCCGGCCUGAGAGGGUGGACGGCCACAUUGGGACUGAGAUACGGCCCAGACUCCUACGGGAGGCAGCAGUGGGGAAUAUUGCACAAUGGGCGGAAGCCUUAUGCAGCGACGCCGCGUGGGGGAUGACGGCCUUCGGGUUGUAAACCUCUUUCGACAGGGACGAAGCUUCGGUGACGGUACCUGUAGAAGAAGCACCGGCUAACUACGUG
rnacentral:rRNA from 1 species